rnacentral:rRNA from 1 species
AACAGGAUUAGAUACCCUGGUAGUCCGCGCCGUAAACGAUGUCGACUUGGAGGUUGUUCCCUUGAGGAGUGGCUUCCGGAGCUAACGCGUUAAGUCGACCGCCUGGGGAGUACGGCCGCAAGGUUAAAACUCAAAUGAAUUGACGGGGGCCCGCACAAGCGGUGGAGCAUGUGGUUUAAUUCGAUGCAACGCGAAGAACCUUACCUACUCUUGACAUCCAGCGAACUUUCCAGAGAUGGAUUGGUGCCUUCGGGAACGCUGAGACAGGUGCUGCAUGGCUGUCGUCAGCUCGUGUUGUGAAAUGUUGGGUUAAGUCCCGCAACGAGCGCAACCCUUAUCCUUUGUUGCCAGCGAUUCGGUCGGGAACUCAAAGGAGACUGCCGGUGAUAAACCGGAGGAAGGUGGGGAUGACGUCAAGUCAUCAUGGUCCUUACGAGUAGGGCUACACACGUGCUACAAUGGCGCAUACAAAGAGAAGCGACCUCGCGAGAGCAAGCGGACCUCACUAAGUGCGUCGUAGUCCGGAUCGGAGUCUGCAACUCGACUCCGUGAAGUCGGAAUCGCUCGUAAUCGUGGAUCAGAAUGCCACGGUGAAUACGUUCCCGGGCCUUGUACACACCGCCCGUCACACCAUGGGAGUGGGUUGCAAAAGAAGUAGGUAGCUUAACCUUCGGGAGGGCGCUUACCACUUUGUGAUUCAUGACUGGGGUGAAGUCGUAACAAGGUAACC